rnacentral:rRNA from 1 species
CCUACGGGAGGCAGCAGUGAGGAAUAUUGGUCAAUGGACGAGAGUCUGAACCAGCCAAGUAGCGUGAAGGAUGACUGCCCUAUGGGGUGUAAACGUCUUUUAUAAAGGAAUAAAACGAGGCACGUGUGCCUGUUUGCAUGUACGUGAGGAAGAAGGAUCGGCUAACUCCGUGCCAGCAGCCGCGGUAAUACGGAGGAUCCGAGCGUUAUCCGGAUUUAGUGGGUUUAAAGGGAGCGUAGAUGGGUUGUUAAGUCAGUUGUGAAAGUUUGCGGCUCAACCGGAAAAUUGCAAUUGAUACUGGCAGUCUUGUGUACCGUUGCGGUCGGCGGCUUUCGUGGUGUAGCGGU